UACAGAGGUCCCAAGCGUUGUUCGGAUUCACUGGGCGUAAAGGGUGCGCAGGUGGCCAGGCAAGUUCGAUGUGAAAGCCCCGGGCUUAACCCGGGAAUGGCAUUGAAAACUGCAUGGCUGGAGGAUCGGAGGGGGGACUGGAAUUCUUGGUGUAGCAGUGAAAUGCGUAGAUAUCAAGAGGAACACCAGUGGCGAAGGCGAGUCCCUGGACGAUACCUGACACUGAGGCACGAAAGCUAGGGGAGCAAACAGG
rnacentral:rRNA from 1 species